rnacentral:rRNA from 1 species
AUUGAACGCUGGCGGCAGGCCUAACACAUGCACGUCGAGCGAGCGGCGGACGGGUGAGUAAUGUAUGGGGACUGCCCGAUAGAGGGGGAUAACUACUGGAACCGGUAGCUAAUACCGCAUACUAUCGGAUAACCCAUAUGGGAUUAGCUCGUAGGUGAGGUAAUGGCUCACCUAGGCGACGAUCCCUAGCUGGGCUGAGAGGAUGAUCCGCCACACUGGGACGGAGACACGGCCCAGAGUCCUACGGAGGCAGCAGUGGGGAAUAUUGCACAAUGGGCGCAAGCUUGAUGCAGCCAUGCCGCGUGUAUGAAGAAGGCCCUAGGGUUGUAAAGUACUUUCAGUCGGGAGGCGUUACCGACAGAAGAAGCACCGGCUAACUCCGUGCCAGCAGCCGCGGUAAUUC